GACGAACGCUGGCGGCGUGCUUAACACAUGCAAGUCGAACGGAAAGGCCCCUUUGGGGGUACUCGAGUGGCGAACGGGUGAGUAACACGUGAGUAACCUGCCCUUGACUUCGGGAUAACUUCAGGAAACUGGGGCUAAUACCGGAUAGGAAUCCUUGCUGCAUGGUGGGGGUUGGAAAGCUUCGGCGGUUUUGGAUGGACUCGCGGCUUAUCAGCUUGUUGGUGGGGUAGUGGCUUACCAAGGCUUUGACGGGUAGCCGGCCUGAGAGGGCGACCGGCCACAUUGGGACUGAGAUACGGCCCAAACCCCUACGGGAGGCAGCAGUGGGGAAUAUUGGACAAUGGGCGGAAGCCUGAUGCAGCAACGCCGCGUGCGGGAUGACGGCCUUCGGGUUUUAAACCGCUUUCAGCAGGGGCGAAGCUUUUGUGACGGUACCUGCAGAAGAAGCACCGGCUAACUACGUG
rnacentral:rRNA from 1 species